rnacentral:rRNA from 1 species
GACGAACGCUGGCGGCGUGCCUAAUGCAUGCAAGUCGCACGCAGAGUGCUUGCACUCUGAGUGGCGCACGGCUGAGGAACACGUACGAAUCUACCCUCGCGUGGGGAAUAACACCGCGAAAGCAAUGCUAAUUCCGCAUACGUCCCGCCUUUGGGCGGGGGAAAGCUGCAAGGCGCGCGAGGAUGAGCGUGCGGCCCAUCAGGUGGUUGGCGGGGUAACGGCCCACCAAGCCGAUGACGGGUAGCUGGUCUGUGAGGACAACCAGCCAGACUGGGACUGAGACACGGCCCAGACUCCUACGGGAGGCAGCAGCAAGGAAUUUUCCCCAAUGGGCGCAAGCCUGAGGGAGCAACGCCGCGUGGAGGACGACGGCCUUCGGGUUGUAAACUCCUUUUCGGAGGGAAGAAACGGACGGUACCUCCGGAACAAGCCCCGGCUAACUCUGUGCCAGCCGCCGCCGUAAAAC